UGCGCCGCCACUUUUGUCGUAACGACGGAGAGAGGGAGAUGACGUGAAAGGGGCAACUCCGGAUACAUGUGGCGGGCGCCGGCGAUCUCUGUAGCCACGUCGGUGCGCAACUCAUUGUCGUGCAUGAUGUUGUUUACUCACUGGCGGCCGUGGCUAAGUUGGUGGCUGCCGCCGCGCACGUCAACCUCAACGUCGUGCUGGAGUCGCUCAGGGACAUGCCCAUCGAGAGCGACCAUAACGCCGCCGUUGGCUCCCUGACCACGCCCUCCCUCCCCAAGGGCCAUCCGCCUGCGCUUCCUGUUCAGUCUGGCGGCGAGGGAGCAUGCAAUCGUGUUCGUCUACACACAGUGAACGGUCUUCCAGAGGUUGCUGCUCAAGAAAGCCUUCGACGACUCCGGACGACGUCCGCUCCCUCGUGAGCCAUGCCGCAUGCGCGCCCCGGCGAUCUGGGAUUGGAUGAUGCGCCAACAGAGUCAGCUCCGGUUCUUUCCCUGGAACGAAGCGUACAAACUGGUACAGGGAACCGCUUGAUUGUUGGGCAUUGGCUUGCGAUGGUGCACCCGUGAACUUGCUUGACAGGUACAAUCUUCAGUUCACGUAUUAUUUCCUUCCUUUUUCUUCAUAAUAAAAUUAAAGUUGGAGCUGAUUGCAAGUGCAUUUUUGUUUCUUGAUGGUAGGGAUCUAAUUAAUUAUAUAACUUCAUUACCCCCGCCCCCUCAUUUUUUUCCUUUUAUGAUGGGUCUACAGUUGCUCCACCAAGGCACUGGAUAUAACUUCAGAGUUCAGAUACGUUAGACUUGAAUUGCUCUUUGCAACAUUCCUUUUAUUUUUAGUCUUUUCUUUAUGAAUUCCUAAAAAGUGUAUGAUGAAAGUGUUUCUGCCUCAACAAUUAAUUGCCUACGCUCAACAUUUACUUGUAGAGAAUUAUAUGUUACUGUGUGCUUCUUUCCCAUAUUGAGAUUUUCCUAAUAUAUUGGUACUGCCACCAAUCAUGUGCACACUGAAGCAAAACUUGUAGAUUUUGGUACAUCUUGGGAUUGUAGUGCUGAACCAUGUGUACCAAUUCUGAGACACUCACUGCAUAAUUAUUUGGUGUGUCCAUUCACAACUCUUUAGGGCUCCAGUCAAAAAUACUUUGUUGUCGUGUCCGAGCAUCUUUAUAAUGAUCAAUGCUGGAAGUUUGAUCAGCCUUUGUACAUAGGCGUACUAGCAAAUUAACUAAGUUUUAGCAUGUGCAACCUUUUCUUUUCACGGAAAUCUCAUUUUUGCCAUGUAUUUGCAGUUUUGCAGGUCCUGUUUCCUUGCUGAUGUGAUGGGUCAGGUGACGGGUAAAAAUAUGUUGAAAAAAGUAUCGUUCACAAGUUUUAUUCAAUGGUAUAAUAAUUGUUGUUGGUAGAAUCUAAGAAUGCUCUUUUAAAUGAUAAGCGUGUGCCGUUUUAUCCGGCCUACCUCAUGGACUCUUCUGAUUAUAUUUGCUGUGCAAGUUCAAUAAGAUAGAAAAUUGCUUAGUUUUUCAGCCUUCUUGCAUCACUUUACAGUUCUGCUCAUGUACCAAGCUUUUCAAUCAAUGGUCUUAUGUGAGAUUAGUUUAAUUAUUUUUGCUAUUACUCUUUGGGAGAAUAACCUAAUAGAUUCUUCAUGUUCCAGUAAUCACAUCACAAAUUAGAUGGCAAUGGAUUAGGUAUGUUUCAUAGUGGGGUUAUUGAUUGAGUUUAUUAUUUGUGUCCAGAAAGACCGAGUUUAGUGAAGUUCCUAGGAAUGGCAGGGUAUGCAAACCAAAAAGAUUGUGCACUCAAGGUUUGCUUAUUUUGCUAGAUGCACAUGUUUUGUCUUAAACAGAGAACAAUUCUUGUAUGUACAUCGACGUUUAUAGAUCAGGAUAAUUCUCAUGUUGAUAUAAUUAUAUGGCUGUUGAGUCCAAUUUGGAAUAGUAGGAUGUGGAAAUCUUGCAAGUAACCACGAGGCAGCCACGAGGACAUUAUUCCAUGAAAUAAAGGACAAGAAGUUGAGAUCGAGCAGAUUUUUUAGUCUAUGAAGCUUUCAAUGGAGUACUGUAUAUGCACUACGGACAAAACCUUUAUUUCCUCAAACAAGGAAUCGUAAAUUCCAUACUCACCUUUGUCUCCUCAAACCUAGGAACGGUAAGUUCCUUACUCACAUAUCCUGCAUUCUUCUAGGAGGUACGAGGUCACUACUAUCCUUAUCCUCUUUGGACUGUACUUAUCAUGACAAGUGAGGACUUAAAUGUUUAGGAAACCAUAUAAAUUAAUAAAUUGCCAGUUAGAAGUAGAUGUAGUAAAAUCAAGAAAAAGGUGCAGGGUUAUGAUGAGCAUGGGUAAACGAGCUACCAUAACAAUCAAGAGAGGACAAUUCAUAAGAGAAAACAAGAUUACACAAGGUGUUUGUGCUUAUUCUUUCAACUCUCGGGAAGACCAUG